rfam:Arabis alpina cultivar Pajares Aa.chr8_contig_3143, whole genome shotgun sequence.
ACUCCAUGGUGAGGACAAGAUCUAAUGUAACCCAUCAAUCUUUCACAUGCUUUAUAGAGAGCUUAUUUUGGACCUUGCUUGAAGCUUGUGAUGUUGUUUCUAAUCCA